UACGGGGGGAGCAAGCGUUGUCCGGAAUUAUUGGGCGUAAAGGGCUCGUAGGCGGUUUGUCGCGUCGGGAGUGAAAACUCAGGGCUCAACCCUGAGCGUGCUUCCGAUACGGGCAGACUAGAGGUAUGCAGGGGAGAACGGAAUUCCUGGUGUAGCGGUGGAAUGCGCAGAUAUCAGGAGGAACACCGGUGGCGAAGGCGGCGACCUGGGCCAAUAUUGACGCUGAGGUGCGAAAGCGUGGGGAGCAAACAGG
rnacentral:rRNA from 1 species